GCCCGGAUGGUGAAAUUGGUAGACACACAAGACUUAAAAUCUUGCGCUCUAACGAGCGUGCCGGUUCAAGUCCGGCUCCGGGCACCA
rnacentral:tRNA from 1 species